AAUUUUAGGCGAGACGGCAGGGCUCACAAGCAUAGCUGUACCAUUCCUGAAUCUCACGUACACAGUUAAGAAAUAUUCUCCCGCUCGGAAAGUCAUUUUUGUGCACUUGUUUUCUAGCUAGCCGCUGCAUCCUUUAUAGCCGAGAGAGAUCGUUUUACUGCAUGAUGUUCAGGUGUAGCUACCAUUAGCCUUACUGGAGCAAAUCAACAUUUCACAGGAAUUUCAUCAUAAACAUCGGACCCACAUACACUCGAAAUAUAACAUUCUUCUCUGGAAUUUGAGUUUUUUUCAGAAGGUUAUGAUAAUAUUUAUUUGUUAUGAUAAUAUUUUGUCGCUUGUAUUUAAUCCUUGGGGAUUAGGAUCUUUCCCAUUCUGAGGAGUCCAAUUGAUACUUCCCAUUAUUUUUUAGAAAUCUAUCAUAUUAUUUUCUCUGGCUACGCUGCACCUAGCUACCACAUUUUAAGUAAUAUUAUGUCUUAACAUCUGAGGAGAGAGGGAAUGAACCAGGGUAUUCAUGUCUUAACAUGGAUGGGACCGAAACUUUCUAUUAUGCACUUGGAUUAUGUUUCUUUUGUUUUUAUUUUGCUAGCUCGUAACGUAUAUCAUUUAAUUUUCGGCUCUACCACAUGAUUUCAUACUAAUAUCUGGUUGUAAGCAUCUUUUAAUUUAAAAACGUGUUUCUGGGUAUACUUUGAUAUUGAUAUAAGAUUUAUUGCCAUCAGUUUACUUGGCACAGAUAAAAUAGUUCUCAAUUUUGUGCACAGUAGUAUACAAUCAUGUGGCACUCAACAAAACAAGGCGUAUCAUUUUUUAAAUUAUAUAUAGAACUGAAUCACAUUUAAAUCGUGUAAUGGCAGUGUGUUCGUAACCGAAGUUCUCCAGGGACAACGACGAAUUCAUUAGUGCACCGCGACAGCCGCCGUAUCCAUCGACUGUUGUUCGUGCUCGAAUCAGGGCGGGGCCAAUUGCCCAGAUUUCGCUCCCCAUGGUGCUCCCAAGUUGCAGCGACAACGCUUUUUGUCCAUCCACCCCUUUCUUUCCCCCACGUCCUACAAGGCUACAACGCACCCUUGGACUGUAUUCAUGUGGUAGUGCCUCAAGCUUACGUUAUGUGUGAGCGUUUGGUUCAUUGGUUGGUUUCCAGUUAUGCUUUGGGAGGCGAGAUUGGGUUCAGACGAGUUGAGCUACCUGUUCUAAUCACAGAGGCUGAACUGCGAGUUUCAGAGGGCAAUGUGCUAUGUAAUGGUGUGAUCUAUCUAUUUUUCUUUUCUUUCGAUGAUAGCAAUUUUUUGUUCAGGUGAAGGCUUUUGUUGAUGUCCCAAUGUGAAGGUACAACGCUGGCUCAUAUAUCUUCAUAUUUUAUCCUGUCUACAAAUCUCCCAGAUUUUAGUUUCCACUUGCUUUGAAUCAACGAAAGGAGACAUCCAAUAAUUUAGUUCCCCCUUCCCUUGUAGAGUUGAUGUUUCCUCUUCCUUUAAAGAGUUGAUGCACAAGAUUCAUCCUGGGCCAAAGUUUGUGGAAUAUUUUCCAAAAACCAGUAUAAACAAGAACCUAUUAUGAGAUUAUUCACAUGAUUUAUCAUAGGGAAGGUAUAGAUUUGGUGCUAGGCACAAGUGAAGAAAUAGAAAUAUUUUCCAUCUCCAUGACAUCUGUUUCUUUUUCCUUAUAAAGAACUUGUUUGUUUUCUAGAUUAUGGUUGUUCGGUUCAUUGUCCCUGCUCCCUGCACCCACAAAGGUCAGUGUUCAAGCAACAAUCUUUAGCUAAUAUACCUUUUGACAUUUGCAACCAUACCAAGAUUAAAUUAUAAAUGAUAUGUAUUUGUAGUAAAUUCGUGGCCCAAUAUUGCAGAUGCAGCUCACGAACAAAUUUAUUAUUCAAGCACGGUUAGAGAGCACCCUAUGAAUCGACUGCACCAUUUUGAGUUGCUUUAUUUACGAAGGCAUUCAUGCUUGAUCAUGUGGAAAAAAAUGUUGGCAUGCAGACCCGCAGGAGGCUAUAAGAAAAUUAUCUAAUGCCAUUGCAAAAUCUGAUAGAGAUUGGCUUGUCAGGAAGUGUUCUUGAACAAAGAGAUUAGCAUAAGGAAUUAUAACUGUGUUCUUUUUUUGCAGCAAACCAUUUUGAUAGGUAGUUCUGGUAAGGUAGUCUGUUUUAACAUUCUAUUGCUCAGACCACUCUCUCAUCCGCACUUAAAAAUCCAUAAUCUGCUCAUUCUAUUCAGAACAUAGUCUGUUUUAACAUUGUUUUGGGAAAGAGGCACGAAGCACACCAUGUAACCAUUACUGUUCGUGCUAAUUAGAAGAACGAGAAGAAGAGAUGUCUAAUAUCGUAUUAAAAUCUUGUGUGAUGUUUUAGAGGAUGGCGAAGGCGGUGCAGGGAGCUGACGGCCUGUCCGCGGUGAGGAGGUGAUGGAGAAACAACCCCACACUUGAUGGGUAGGUGCAGGGCGGGGAGGGUGCCGGCCAGGAAGGCGAUUUUGUACAUGAAUGGGUGUCUUUAAGAGUGGCUUCAAAGUCUAUAUUUGAGAUGACGGCUCUCGGCAGAAGGCGAGGGCCCGUCUAUUAGACGGAUGACCACGUGGUGGCCUUCUAUUCGUUAGCGUUUGCGGAGAGCAGGCUCUCGGCAAAGAUCAGUGAGUAGCUCAGACUUCAUAUGAAUAAUCAACUAAAAGAAUAGGUGAGUAGUUGAGACUUCAUAUAAAGAGCAAUAAUGUAAUAGGUAUCCAGGCAUUUUCUGUUUAUAUCAUGGAUGUAUCUUCGUUUCUGAUUUUUUGUUUUGGACAACUCAAACACCUUGUUUAAUACUUUCUUCGCGGACUAACUGUUGUUGAAACGAGUAUAUCUAGAUACACUUGUUACAACGAGAGUUAGUUCUGGACGGAGCUUGUAUUUACAAGCCUUUUUUGCCAACUGUUCAAAUAAGCUCUUAUUUUGUGUAAAUGGUCAAACAAUGCACUUCAAAUAAUUAAGUUGUUAUCCCAGAAAUAUUUUGGAAGAUGUUGUA
rnacentral:lncRNA from 1 species